ACUGACUUGCUUCUGCGUGUAGUAGCAUCUAUCUUGCCGAUCAACGACGUAUAAAUUGCUCAAGGCUCUAGCUCACUGCCUGCUAUGCGCUCAACACGACAUUCUCCUCCACAGCUGCAGAGAUUCUUCGGCUGCGAGCGAGAUGAGUGCCAAGGUGACGCCGAUUCUUCUGCUCGCCGUGCUCUUGGGAUGCCUCGCGUUCUCUGCAAACUGCGAAGGCGGCGGCGGCUACGCGGAGAGGCGACCACCUGGUGGUGGCCGCCGGUGGCUGCUAACCGGUGACCCGCUGAUGACCGUGAGGAGGAGCAGCAGCAGGAGGAAGAUGACGAUGAACAUGGUGGCGGGGUCGUGCGUGAGGAGCACAUGCGAGGGCAGCCCCUGUUUCUGCUGCCAAACGGUGCCCACCAAGCCUUGCUUCUUGGAACUGGACGCUUGCUUGAGAGUCUGCUCCGGUCGUCUGCCAGCCGAACCGCUUCCUUGGAGAGGAGCUUCUUCGGCCUAGCCGUCCGCAGUCCACCACGCAAUCCGUGCCAUUGCAUUGCUUCAGAGGAAUGAGAGAACAUGCAUUUAGCUGCCAACGGACAAGGAGCACGCCUAAGUUAAAGUUUCUACACUUUUAGUUCCGAAGACACUAGAAAGUUUCAUAAUUGGCAUAGCAUCAUGCUGGUGCAUCUGCAAAAGAUUCGUGUGCUUAUGCAUACACACACUGUAAUAAGGAAAACAAGAGAUAAGGCUUGUCUCA